GGGCGGGGGGGGGUCCCCAACCAAAAACAGGGGAAAGGGGAAAAAAGGGUUUGGAAAAAAUUAUCUUUUUCUCUUUUUUCCCUUUUUUUUUUUUUCUUUUUCCCUUCUCCUCCCCCUCCCCAUAAAAAUAAAAGAAAUUUAAUAUGUAACUAAAAUACAACGUUAUUUUGAAUUGGAGAGGGUGGGAGGCGUGUGUUUUUCCUUCCCCCACCCUUUCGGGGCGCUGGGAUAGGGGGACCGGGAUCCAUCCCUUUAUUAAAAAAAAAAAAAAAAGAAAGGGGGGGUUUGGGUUUUUUUUACCGGCGGGGGCAAAACAACCCCCCCCCCCGGGGGGAAUUUUUCUCCCGAAAAAGGGGAUUGUUUGGCGUGGUUUUUUCACCCCGGUUUUUUUUUAAACCGCCCCCUUCAAAGGUGGAACCCCGGCAAGGACCCCCCGCCCAGAAUGAAAAUUUUGGGGGGCCCCCCCGGGCCCGGGGAGGGGCCCCCCGGGGGCCGCCCCCCCAAAAACACCCCAGGGCCGGAGGCUUGGGGUGAAAAUGACCGCUAGAAACCAGGCAUGCCCCGCCCGAAAUUAGCCGGGGGCCGCCAUAUUGGCUUAAAAAAGAUUUUGCUGAUUUCCAUUGAAUUUCCUGCAAUUUCCACCAUUAACCUUAUCCGCAUUUUCGCUGCUUUCUUUCAUCGAUGCCAGAACCCAAGAGAUCCCGUUGUUGAAAGUUUUGAUUAUUUGUCUUUCAGGCUCAGAGAUAGCGGAAAAAAUAAGAGUUUUUGAACCUCCGGCGGGCGUGCCCGCCGGAAGCAACGACAGAGGUUAUGUUCACAGGGUGGAGUUUUUCAACUCAGUUCUGUUCCUGUGACCUGCGGAGGGAUCAUUACUGAGUUGAAAAACUCCAACCCCUGUGAACAUAACCUCUGUCGUUGCUUCGGCGGGCACGCCCGCCGGAGGUUCAAAACUCUUAUUUUUUCCAGUAUCUCUGAGCCUGAAAGACAAAUAAUCAAAACUUUCAACAACGGAUCUCUUGGUUCUGGCAUCGAUGAAGAACGCAGCGAAAUGCGAUAAGUAAUGUGAAUUGCAGAAUUCAGUGAAUCAUCGAAUCUUUGAACGCACAUUGCGCCCGCCGGUAUUCCGGCGGGCAUGCCUGUUCGAGCGUCAUUUCAACCCUCAAGCCUCGGCUUGGUGUUGGGGCGCCCGGGCCCUCCGCGGCCCGGGGCCCCCAAGUUCAUCGGCGGGCUCGGCGGUACACUGAGCGCAGUAAAACGCGGUAAAACGCGAACCUCGUUCGGAUCGUCCCGGCGUGCUCCAGCCGCUAAACCCCCCAAUUUUUUAAAGGUGACCUCGAUCAGGGUAGGAAACCCAGAU
rnacentral:misc_RNA from 1 species